rnacentral:misc_RNA from 1 species
GAAAAUUACCAUCCAUGUAUUCUCCACCAUUAUCUGUCCUUAAGCAUUUGAUCCUUUUCCCAAUUUCAAGUUCUACUUGUGCCUUGAAGUCUUUGAAUAUUGGAAACACAUCUGACUUCUUCUUGAUUGGGCACACCCAUAAUCUCCUGGAGUAAUCAUCAAUGAAUGACUACUAAGGAUAUUUCUGGUGAUUCCCAUACAUCAUAAUGAAUCAAGUCUAGAAUGUGUUUGCUUCUAGCAGUAGAUCUAUUAAACUUUAAUCUAUUCUGCUUGCUUAAAACACAUUUCUCACAGAAAGGUAAGCUUACCGAUUUGAGUCCAGGAAGCAAAUUACGUUCAGCAAGAAUCUUCAAACCACGUUCUGACAUAUGGCCUAGUUUGUAAUGCCACAUCAUCGUUGUUUUUGAUUCUUGGCUAACUACUGCAACUGAUGCAUCUACUUUCUGCAUUGUAACUCCUAAAAGCACAAAUAGAUUAGCUGUGAUUUUUUCUGCCUUCAUCACCACCAGAGCAUCUUUUACAACCUUCAAGAUCCCAUCUACAAUAUGAGUCUUAUAUCCGAGGUUAUCUAAUUGCCCAAGAGACAAUAGAUUUUUCUUCAAGCCCUUCACAUGUCGUACUCCUUCAACUGUUCGAAUAGUACCAUCAUACAUUUUUAAUUUGAUAGUGCCAACUCCAGCAAUUUCUAAGGUAUUGUCAUUUCCCAUGAACACAGAUCCUUCCGAGAUAGAUUCAUAAGUGCAAAACCAGUCUUGUCGUGGAGUCAUGUGCCAAGUUGCUCCCGUAUCCAUUAUCCAAAUAUCAAUGAGCUGUUUUCCACCUUUAGAACUUAUUGCUGCUUCGCUGUAUAGGAUUUCUUCAUCAUCUAAGGUACUUGCAACACAUCCUUGAGAAGUUUUUGCUUAAGGAGCUUUUUCUACAGUAUUCUUAUAAUGCCAACAAUCCUUUUUCACAUGCCCUCUUUUGCCACAAUGGUAGCAUUUAAAAUUUUUCUUGCUUCAUGACUUCGAUCUGCUAUGAUUUUGACUCCCACUAGAACCACGUGCCAUUGAUCUCCCUCUCAUCAUCAAUAAUGCCUCUGUUUGUUGCGAAGUGAACAAUUUAUCUUCUUUAUUUUUGCGCCUGGACUCCUCUUCCAAAACAGCAGCUGCAACAUCAUUGAAGACUAGAUAGUCCGUGAGAAUAUUAUUUGUCAAAUUGAUGAUGAGUUGAUCAUAUGAAUCGGGUAGACUUUGAAGUAGAAGCUCUGUACGUUCAUUUUCUGCUAUAUGAUAUUCCAACGCUGUAAGUUGAGAAAAUAACGUAUUGAGAUUGUUGAUGUGAUCCGUUACUGAUGUGGAUUCACUCAUUCGAAAAGUAUAAAGUCUCCUCUUUAAGAAGAUCUUGUUGUGAAGUGACUUUGCCUCGUACAAUCCGGUGAGCGUGUCCCAAAUUUCUUUUGCUGUCUUCUUUUCUGCAACACUUGAUAAAACUGUAUCUGCCAUUGCUAGAUGUAGAUGAGCAAUUGCAUUGUCAUCCAUCUCUUUCCAUCUGUCAUCAGUUAUCCCUAUGGGUCUGUCCUCAAUUGCCGCUAAACAAUUGUCCUUCCUCAAAAUUGCCCUCAUCUUCAAUUUCCACAGGGAGAAAUUACUCCUGUUGAAUUUCUCAAUCUCAUACUUUGCUGCCAUGGUAUUGACAGAGACCUGCUCCCCAACUGAAAUCAGUUUACAAUAUCGGCAACCUUUGGCUCUGAUACCACUGUUAAGGACUGAAGAUAAAUAUAAACUGAUCUUGUUAUUUGGGUACAGGAAAUAUAUCUGACAACAAUAACAGAGUUGAAGAAAAGAUAGAAAUAGACACACAGUAGAAGAAAAUUUUCACUAUAUAUGGAAGAGAUUACAAUAUGAGAAGACAAUAUUUUUCUCUAAGAUUUCCUCACUACUCACACACUUCACACCUCUCAUAUAUAUUUUACACAAAUACAAGAGUUCUAUAUAUAUAUGAGUCGGUUACGGUGGCUAUACAGCUAAUAUACCACUCUGUUUUCAACAUGGUUGAGUAACCAUCUUACAGCAAUUCAUUUGCUGACAAAAGCUUAUCAGAUAUGGAAAGAAGAUGUGGGUCCAGACUCAAUUUCCACUACCUUCCUUUCACAUGCAUAUACCGCCAUACUUCGGUAAUUGUAAUUUAUCAUCAUUAUUAUUUUAACUUUCAGCCGAAAGUGGCUUUACCCUUGACAAUCUCCCACUUAAAGUCACUUUUGGUGAGCUUUCAAAAAACUUUCUCCUCUUGCCAAAUCCAUGCUGCUUAUGUUUCCAAUAGGCCAUAGAAAGAUCUACACCAUUUAAACUUAUUAGCGUUGAUUGGCUUUGUCAUUACAUUUGCUAGGUUGUCUUUAGAGUGAAUCUUCUGCAUAUCCACAAUUCCUUCUUCCACUACUUCUCGAACGAAAUGAUAUUGUACUCCUAUGUGUUUUGUCCUU